CACGUAGGGUGCGAGCGUUGUCCGGAAUUAUUGGGCGUAAAGAGCUCGUAGGCGGUGUGUCGCGUCGGCCGUGAAAACCUGCAGCUUAACUGUGGGCUUGCGGUCGAUACGGGCAUCACUGGAGUUCAGCAGGGGAGACUGGAAUUCCUGGUGUAGCGGUGAAAUGCGCAGAUAUCAGGAGGAACACCGGUGGCGAAGGCGGGUCUCUGGGCCGAUACUGACGCUGAGGAGCGAAAGCGUGGGGAGCGAACAGG
rnacentral:rRNA from 1 species